GAAUUCGCCCUUAGAGUUUGAUCCUGGCUCAGGACGAACGCUGGCGGCGUGCUUAACACAUGCAAGUCGAACGAGAAUCACUGGAAGGAGUUUUCGGACAACGGAAGGUGAGGACAGUGGCGGACGGGUGAGUAACGCGUGAGGAACCUGCCUUUCAGAGGGGGACAACAGUUGGAAACGACUGCUAAUACCGCAUGACACAUAGAGAUCGCAUGGUUUUUAUGUCAAAGAUUUAUCGCUGAAAGAUGGCCUCGCGUCUGAUUAGCUAGUUGGUGAGGUAACGGCCCACCAAGGCGACGAUCAGUAGCCGGACUGAGAGGUUGACCGGCCACAUUGGGACUGAGAUACGGCCCAGACUCCUACGGGAGGCAGCAGUGGGGAAUAUUGGGCAAUGGGCGCAAGCCUGACCCAGCAACGCCGCGUGAAGGAAGAAGGCUUUCGGGUUGUAAACUUCUUUUGUCGGGGACGAGUAGAAGACGGUACCUGGCGAAUAAGCCACGGCUAACUACGUGCCAGCAGCCGCGGUAAUACGUAGGUGGCAAGCGUUGUCCGGAUUUACUGGGUGUAAAGGGCGUGUAGCCGGGAAGGCAAGUCAGAUGUGAAAUCCACGGGCUUAACUCGUGAACUGCAUUUGAAACUACUUUUCUUGAGUAUCGGAGAGGCAAUCGGAAUUCCUAGUGUAGCGGUGAAAUGCGUAGAUAUUAGGAGGAACACCAGUGGCGAAGGCGGAUUGCUGGACGACAACUGACGGUGAGGCGCGAAAGCGUGGGGAGCAAACAGGAAGAGAUACCCUGGUAGUCCACGCUGUAAACGA
rnacentral:rRNA from 1 species